AGACAAACUGUACGUCCGUUUGUCCGGACCGGAGGGGAGAGUGGGCGCCAUCUUCUUGGCUCACUGAGGGUUGUACUUGUUCUGUGGAGGCUGCCGCGACGAGGAGACCCCGGCCCCCGGCCUUGUGUGUCCGACUCGGCAGCAGUGCCUCCAUGUGGUGGUGUGUGUGCGCUUCCCAGCGAUCUUGAGAGAAGAUCUCGAAGGAUUUCAUAGUUAAGUUGCUUUUACAGAAUUAACAGGUCUCCAAGAAAAAAAAAUUUUUUAAAAAGGGUUACAGAAAGAGAGGAAGAGACAGAGAGAGAUCGUCCAUCCACUGGUUCCCUCCCUAAAUGGCUGUAAUGGCUGGGGCUGGGCCAGGUAUGUUUCUUCAGAAUCUCCCAAGUGGGUGCAGAGGCUGAAGCAGUUGGGCCAUCUUUCUAUUGCUUUCCCAGGAGCAUUAGCAUGGAGCUAGAUCAGAAGUGGAGUAGUUGGGUCUUGAACUAGCUCCCAUGUUGGAUGCUGGUUUCACAGAUGGUGGCUUUACCUAGUAUGCCACAAAACCAGCCCCUAAAUUUCUAUAUAUUUUUUAAAGAUGUAUUUAUUUAUUUGAAAGUCAGAGUUACAUGAGAGAGGAGAGGCGGAGAGAGAGAGGUCUUCCAUCUGAUGGUUCACUCCCCAGUUUGCUGCAAUGGCUGGAGCUGUGCAGAUCCAAAGCCAGGAGCUUCCUCUGGAUCUUCCCAUGCUAUUGCAGGGACCCAAGGAUUUGGGCCAUCUUCUACUGCUUUCCCAGGCCAUAGUGGAGAGCUGGGUCGGAAGUGGCGCAUCCGGGACUUGAACCCGUGCCAUAUGGGAUGCUGGCACUGCAGGUGGUGGCUUUAAGUGCUAUGCCACAGCACCAACAUUUCUAUAUGUUUUUAAUAGUAAAUAUUUUAGUAAUAGUAAAGAAACUAGUAAAUUCAUUUCAAUAAAAGUACUUCAGUGUGGAUCUUUAGUAAACUUAUAAAUAGAAAAUUAAUAAACUAAUUGGAAUAAGCAAACUAUGAAUAACAUAGGAAGAGAGGAUAUUUUUAGUUGCUCAAAGAUUACAAUAGAUGGUUAAUUUGAUCAGCCUUUUUGAGGAAUGUACACUAGACUAACACUCUUCCAAUACAUAGCAGUAAAGCUAACAUGAAGCUGAAGGUGAAUGAUCACUAAGUAGAAUUGCUUCUCAUACUUGGUGGGAUGGUAGUGGUAGAAGAGGCCAGCUAACUGAUUUAUUCCUUACUGUAUCAGGAUUUAAUUACAGAAAGCUGGUUUCUGGUUGGAAGCCAUUUUUAUGGAUGUUUCCAUCUCUGCCUUUGGUGAUAGGUUGACUUAAUCAUGAUGGGAGUAUGUACCAUGGAAUUUGGUAAGUACCAUGUUAAAAUUGGUAAAUGCAGCAAAUUAGGGCAAUCCUCUGUGUCUCACAGAGAAAGCCAGGUUAUCAGUACACCAUCAAUUUUUAACACAUAGUGUACUGAAUCCUCACAUACCCAUCACCUGGCUUCAGUAAUUACCACAUAUAGCCAGUUUUCCCUUUCUGUCUUCCAUUAGCAGGUAAUCAGUAACACUGAAGGCAUAGUGGUUCUCUAGUGUGAUGCCAAUGUCACUCAUUCUGAAUGCCAAACAUUUCUGUCUAGAAGGUUCCUGAAAAAUAAUAGGUCGUAUCUAGAAAGUAAACUUAAUCCCAUAACCAAAAGAUAGGUAAAAAUCAUUAAGGGUGCACUUCUGUGAAUUUACACUGAUAUAGUGGCUCUUGAUUUGCCUAUCAUCUAUUAAGCAACAAUCCUGGUACUUCUAUCUUUGCAUUAAGUGUUACCUGUUAUUUAAUGAACUGCAUUAAUUCCUAUUUUAUAGGUAAGAGAAGGAGCCCUGCAGGCUAAGUAACCUGUUGGUUUGGUUGCCUGUUUUUGUUUUUUUUUUAACAGCAGGGAAGCUAAGAAUGGUUUUCACAUUUUUAAAAUGUGGUUACAUCUUAAGUGGUUUAUAAACACCCACAUAAUUGCCUUGAUUUUGGCUCUUGGCCCCCAAAACAUAUUUACCAUUUGGCUCUUUAAGAAAGUUUACCAAAUUAAAAUUGGUCUAAAUAAUGAAACAAUUUACAUUGAUGAAAAUAUUUCUGUGGCUACUUUUCCUGUUGUUCUUAGAAUGUUUCUUUGAGGUAGAUCAUUUGUUUUAUUCUAGAAUUAUUUAUGUGUUAAGUACCAUUUUACUUUGCAAGUAACACAACUGGAGAAGUUGCUAUUUAUAUUUAGUAAGCAGCAAGAGAAAUACUGUGACCCUGUUUUUGUUCUCCUUGAACUACACAUCAUAUUAAAACACUACGAGAAUAAUAAGUCCAAUGAUCACAUCAAUUUCUUGAGAAUAUUUAAGUAGGGUUUUAAAUGUUUUGAAUAUUUUCAAAGAAGUUGACAAUUUUUAUCACUUAGAACUCUUCCCAGGAAGCAGUUCUUUAAGAACAGAAUUAUGAAUGACAAGUUAAAAAUGCUUUCUAGAAAGUCUUUACUUUUCUGUUAAUGAGUAAUUGCUUUUUUGUAUUAUCCAAAUGAUUUUAUAAAUUUCCUAAUUUUUAUAUGCCUGAGAUCCAUGAAAGUAAAAUUCUUCACCAUAAGAAAAAAAUAGAUACACUAAAGGGCUCUGAUUAAAUUUUAUAUAAUUUUUUAAGGGUGAAUGACUGUAUAUCCUUUCAUUAUUAGGUGGUAGCCUGGUAAAAUUUUUGAAGAAUUUUUAAUGAUUUAUCAUGACGCCACAUUCCAACAAAUUACUUGUUUCCCUAAAGCUGUACCAUGUGUACUGUUUUUGUAAGUUUUGUUUUAAAGUCAGUCUGAUUGUGGUUCUUUUAUAAAGGGAAACUUUAUGCUUUAUGUAAAUUUAUAAAACCCUAGUAUCUUAGUGUCCUGUAAGCUUUAUUCUUGUUGAAAAGUAUAUCAAAUACUGAAACUUAGAAUUUUACUUAACCCUUCAUGGAAUAGAUUUGUGUCAUCAGACCUUUUCUGGUGAUGAAAGCACAGAGUCCUAACAAUUUAGUUAAGUCUUUAGUUGUUUUGUCAUCCUCUUAACUAUUGCAACUUGAACUAGGUAUAUUGCAUUAAUAUGAAAUGCUUUCAAAUACAUAAUCUUUUCUUUAAAAAUGGAAUUUAUACCAAAGAACCUGUACCACCAGGAUGUGGAAAUGACUGGUGUAUAAUAUUUAAAACAUCCAUUUUUGGUCAGCAUAAAUUUCAUUUAAUUUUUUUUCCAUUUCUAGUAGAAUUUCAUUUUGAGGUUUAAUGUUUCAAGUGAGUAUAGCAUUUUACAAUUCAGUAAUCUUGGAUUUCAAGUCAUUAAAGAUGAAAGUGGAAAUGUGAAGUUAAGAAAAUCAGUUUUCAUCUUCUGUAACAUCUAAAUCUUCAUCAUCUGCAUCAUCAUCUUCUGUAUGUUGGUCCUUUCUUAGUCGAGAGGUGGAUACCUGUUAAAAGUGGUUAACACAAUUUUAAAAAUAAAAAAAUUAAAAAUAUUUUUACGUUUGGUAUCUUUAUAUGCCCUUAUAGGAAAGGUUACACAAAACACGCAUUUCAGAAAAAUGUCCAUAUGUCAUUGCUUAAAAAGUUUUAUUUAUUUGAAAGGCAGGGCAACAAGGCCGGGUGAGGGAUAGAGAGAAAGAAAAAAAUCUUCUGUUUGCUGGUUCACUCCCCAGAUGACUACAGUACUGCGAGCUGAACCAGGCUGAAGCCAGGAACCAGGAAUUCCAUUCUGGUCUCCUACAUAAGUGGGUGGCAGGAACCCACAUAAUUGGAUCAUCACUUGUUCUCUCCCAUGGGCAUUACCAGGAAGCUAGAACAGAAGUAGACGUGAGACUUGAUCUCAGGUACUUCGAUAUAGGAUACAAGUGGCAGUGGUGACUGAAGCCACAGUGCCACAGCACUUGCCCCUUAAUCAUUUUUAUUAAUGAAUAUUCCCUAUAAAUUACUAUAUUUUAAGGCUGAGAAAGCCAGUAUUCAUUUUUAUUUUUUGAGUAUAAAUAUGAAAUUAUCUGAUUCCAGUUGACAGUUCCCUGUACUUCAGUAAAAAUAGAUUUUCAGAGAAAAGCAUAGCUUCAUUAUAUGAAAUAUCCUUGAAUCAUAGAAACAGUAUUUGAAUAAAAAUCAUCAAAUGAAUGACAAAAACACAUCAUUUCAGUGAGGUAGUGGGGUAGAAAUAGUAGUAUAAAAGUGAUUUAAGUUGCAGUCCUGACUGUUGGACCUGGGACAUAUGUUGCAUAAAACAUCCCUGAGGAGGAUACUGGGCAAUGUCUGGAGAUACCAGUGGUUGUCCAGAUACCUAAAUUAGCUAAAAUAUGUAUAGCACUUUAGAAUACAUAUCUUAGAUAGAACUUUACAUAUAUGACAUUGUUUGAAUUUAUGUGCAAAGCCUUUAUUGCUGGAAUAAUAAAAAUACAGUUUGGUUAGGAGAAGAGAGAAAUACAAAGAAGAAAUGAAUGCUUACAAGAGAACCAAAUGAAAAAAAAGCAUGGAGUAAAAUUGUAUUUUCAAAGUAUUUUGUUUAAUUCUUACAUAAAAUGUCUUAGCUCUGUUGAUCAAAGUUUGGCAAGUUAUGGCUUAGACUGCUUCCUAUUUUUGUAAGUAACAGUUUUAUUAGAACACAGCCAUAGUGAUUUGUGCGUUAUUUAUAACUGCUCUUAGUUGGGAGCUCUUAGUUGGCCCAUAAAACCUAAGAUAUUCUCUCUGGUCCCUUACAGAAAAAACACUGCUCUGGAUACUAGGUCACUUAGGCUUUAUUGACAGAAUACUGGAGAAAACUGUCUCUCUGUCUAAAGAUAGCUGCUUCUGGAACUAUGAUUAUGUUUAACAAAAGGUCCCUUAUAGGUAUGAUACUCAGAUCCUUUAAAUCUUAUAGUGAAAUUUAAACUUAAGCCAUUUGACCUCAAAAUUUAUUGUCUUAAUAUUAUACUAGACCAUUCUUUCGUCUUCUUUGCUCCCAAGAGUUCUGGUUUUGAGAGUUAAAUGUAAUUAUAAAAGAUGGGAAAUUUCUUAACUGUUGGACCUUGUACAAUCUUCCAUUAUUUUAUAGAAGGUAAGUUAUGUGAGAUCUGAUGACUGAGGGAAAAACAUUUUUAGUACUGAAUAAUUCCUUUAAGAUGGUUUCUAACUUACCUGCCCUGUUCCAGAUACACAUUUAGCUGACAGUGAUCUCUGAAGAGGCGACUUUGAAUUUGCUCUUACGAUAUCUAAACGGGAUGUGUAAUCUGGUGGAUACAGAGAAUUUCGGAAAACCUAUUGCAAUGAUAAGACAACAGUGUAAAAUACAUGCUAAGCAAUGAAAAACUAGAUGGCCAAAUUAAGUGCCUUCUACUUAUUUUUAAGCAACUCCUCCCCAAAAUGGACAAAAUUCUAAUUAUUGUAAAUUUCAAAGAAAAACAAAAAUAAAUUCUAGACUUAAGUUAGAAAGAGGAAAGCCAAAUCCAGUUUGAAUGUGUAAGAUGAUGAGGGAUGUAAACAGUAACUUGUAUGAAAGAAUCACUUGAGUGCGCUUGCCAAAGGAACUGUAGUUCUGACAAGCUAGUGGAGAGGCUGCAACUCAUACCUUUGUAUUCUGCCUAAACUCUUGUAUCACUUUUAAUUUCACUGAAGUACUGCUGUGGAUAAAUCCCAGAAUAAACUGGAGCUGCUAAUUUAAUGGAUUCCACUAGGAUUCGGAAUUUGCAAGUUAUCUAUAAGCUGUAUUUCCAAAUCUUAACUUCAAGUCUGUUUUCUCUUCCUCCAUUUCUUUUAUAUAUAUAGGCUUACAGUAAGGUUAUCAGGUGUGAAUUGCUUCAGUUCCUCUCUUAUUCACACUUUUCAUCCCAUCCUUUUCUUUUUUAAAAAGGCGAGUAUCAUUCUGGUCUUUAAAAAUGUAAAUUUUUCCUUUAUUCAAAAUUUCAAACAAGCAAACAGACUUUCCCAUAGUUCCUUUCUUUUGGAAAACAUGCUCAAUAUCUAAUACCUUUACUCCUUAACUUCUCAGAUAUUCUUCUUGAUUCUUUUUUCAACAAACUACAAUUUGAACUCUCAUUUUGCACUAAAAUUGCUCUUGCAAAAAUUGCCAAAGUCAUCUUUGUCUUCAUCCUCCCUGACCUGGUCCUGAAACCUUUUUCUAUGUCAUCACUUAACUCUUUCAUUUUGCCAGCUGGCCUAUUUUUUCACAUCUCCUUUUCUACUGAUUAUAAUUUAAAUAUUUUUGAAGGUUUUCUCUUAAGCUACUUAGAUAUUCCUCUGAAAGAUCUUACUUGCAGUGUUUAAUGGCUAGCUUUGAACCAAUCCUCUAUACUCCAUAAACUCUCUUGACAGCUGUAUUCAUUCCCAGCUACACCAGCUCUGUCCAAUAGAACUUUGUUAUUUAACCUUAGUAGCCAUACACUUUUAGCUACUUUAUUGGAUGGUGCAGCUCUAGAUUACUUUUACAAAGAUACUAAGGUAGACCAAUUUAUAAACUUAGGCAUUCUCCCUACAUUUAACUGAGGUAUUUAUUUUAGGUCAUAGACUCCACACAUCUUUUUUUUAGCUUGUCUUACUAAAGACCAAAAUAUGUUAUUUCUCUAUUCAAAAACGUUUUGUGGCCCUGUCAAGUCCAAAUGCUUUAGAUGACACCCAGGGCUUAAGCUCGCUCAAAACUAUCCACUACUCUUCUAGCCAACAUACCUAUAUGCAAAGUAUGUUAUACUAUGCCUUUGUAGUGCUGGUUCCUUAAGAGCCAAAUCAAAAUGUUACCUUUUGCUCAGUUCCAACUGUUCAUACCCUCAAGUAUUGCUUUUAUCUCAUUGUUCUGUAACAGAUUACGUAUCUCUCUCUACAACUUAUCUUAAAUUCCUAUAGUACAAGGAGUUCUGGUUUAUCUUUGCAACUCCUAGCUUAAGAUAGCAGCAACUUGGCAAAUAUGUUAAUUCAUUUUUGCCAAAUAAAGGAUGUUAACCCUCAUGUGGUAAGAAAACAAGGCUAUUCAAACAAGAGAAUGUCUCUACAUUCACUGAAACCUUGGAAAACUGCAGGACAUGAAUCAAGGGAUAAAACUCAGGAAGUGAGAUAGGAGUUGUGGGGCAGUUCAGAUACUGAGUAGGUUAACAGACUACUGAAGACCAAAUUAUAUUUUGAGGCUAAAGAUGGAACAGUGACAUCCUAAAAUGAUAUAAAAACUAGAUGAUUCAUUAAAUGGUACUUGGAGAUUCAUUUUUGAUAGAACUUUUAGCUUUUCUAACAAAGAUGAAAUAGUGGAAAAUGGAAGAUAAUAUAUAACCACUGGGAUGAAAAUCUCGACCAGGUUAAAUACUAAACCUAGUGCAAAACAGAUUUACAGGAAUAUUAAUUUAUCGGUAGUAAUGCACUUUCUACUUCUUAUAGCAGUGAAUCUCAAAAUCUAAAUACAUUCUGAAAGGAUUGCACAGAGGUGAUCUUUUGAAGUGAAAAAUGGACCUGAUAGUACAUAAUGUGAAGAAGCAUACAAAAUGGUUUGUGAUAAAACUAAGAGUGUUAGAUUGCAAAAAGCUACUUGCUGCUGAAAUCUCAGCAGCUCUCAUAAAGGAUGGAUUACUUGCAAGGAUAGCAAGUUAUUUCCCUGCCCCUUUCUGCGUGUUUUGUUCACUUGUUUCCAAGAAACUUUGUAUUUACAGGGUCCUUCCUCCUCUUGGUACCUCCUCCACUGACUGCUCUGCUCUCCUCUCUCUAAUUGCUAUAUGGUGUAACUGUUUAUGCCUACGUUUCACUAAAUGUGCCCUGUACUGUGCUGUUUUAAAUAUACCGAUCUUUAUUCAUGACGGUCCUGUCUCACAGCCUUUGUGUGUCUGUGUCCUCUGUCUGAAAGCUUUUGCUAGAUAUCUUCCUAUUCCUCAAGAUUUUAAUUAAGAAAUCAUUUUUUUUGAUUCUGUCAACUAUUUGUGACACAUACAAUGAAUCUCCCCCCAUUCUAAUUAAGACAUCAUUUUUUGAUUCUCCUAUUUGUAACACACAAAAUUUCUCUUGGUUUUACUCACACACACACACACCAAGCAUACUUUUUUCUUUAUGGAAGUAGUCAUAUCAAACUUAGUUACGUAGUACUUUUUAAAAUGUCAACUCACUGGUACAUUAAAUUUCUGCUUUGAAAGUUUGGCUCAUUUCUCACAACAGUAAAUCCUCAGCACUCAGACUGGUGUCUAGCAUGUAACAGGUGCUCAAUAAAUAUUGAACCAGCCAUAUUAUGAGGUAAAUACUAUAAUCUUCAUUUUAGAGAAAAAUAAUCUGAAUUGUGAAGAAGCUCAGUAUUUUUCUACUAGAAUGGGAGAAGUUGAUGUUAAAAAACACAUUUACCACCCAGCCCUGAGAUCUUCAGUUUUUCAUAGAUCUCCCACAAACUACCUGGCCAGUGGAUUAUAAGUAAUGAUAAGACAAGUUACAAAGGAGGUGCUGUGAUAGAAACGAUGUCUAAGCUCUGGAAUGAGAAAGAAAAUCUUGGGGACCACAUGGCUUGAAAGAACUUUAUUAUCAAUUAACAAAUGGCCUAUCAAGGGUAUUAGAGUAAGGAAGAAAAUACUUGAAAAGGGCCCCAGAGAGGGAUCACUUUUGAACCUGUCAUGAAAUACAGUGUUAUUUCUUGUAGGAAAUGGUUCAUGUGACCCAUUAAAAGCCAUACUUCUGGCAGUCUCAUGUAUAAACAGAGCACGGAAGGAAACAUGAAUUACCCUGACUUGAUCAGUAUGCACUGUAUACCUUUAUUAAAACAUCACAAUGUACCCCAUAAAUAAGUACAGUUAUUAAAUGCUAAAGAUUUUAAGAAGUAUUUAAGGAAAUGAAAAUGCUAACCUGGUUGGAUUUUCAUACAUAAAAUGAAAAAAUAAUCUCCAUAGCACUGUAUUCUCACCUUUGAAUUUGACUGUCAACUCUGCUCUUUACAAGCUAUGAGACCUCUGGGAAAUCUCUUAAGCUUACUGUGCAUCAGUUUUCUCAUCCACAGGAUGAAGACAGUAAGUACUUUUUAAUCAAACUUUAUUGCAGGAUGAAAACAAUUAUCUUGGUUAAAAUUUUUAGAUUGGUAGCUGGCCCAAAGCAUUUAGUAUUAUAAAUAUUUAUUAUUUUACUACUUUACAAAUGGCAGCUAAAUGCCUGAUAAUCCAUUUUUUAAAAGAUAAAGGAAUGAAAAUUUAGAAGCCAGCUUUAGUAUCUGGAAGGAAAGGACACUUAGCAAGUCAUCUGUUGACCAAGAGAAAAUACAAAUGUAAUCUUGUGUAUAUAACUGUCAUAAAAUGCAAAUCAGAGUUUGUCAUUGGAAACAUAUGCAAUAUACACAUUCAAACGUACCUUGAUUUUAAGCUACAUUCUGGUUUUAUAAUGAUUAAGUUCCCUGGACCAGUGAAGUAAUGGGACAAGAAGGUGCAGAGGAUCACUCUUAAUAGCCUGUUUCUCUAGUUGUAAAAUGAGAAUAUAGUUUGAUAGACCUUUUUUGAAAUGCUUGGGGCCAGAAAUGUUUUAGAGUUUGGAUUAUUUUUUUCAGAUUUUGGAAUAUGUACAGACUUUAGAUACCUAAUUCAAUUUGAAAUCCAAAAUGUUCUAAAAUAUGAAAAGAGAAUUUUGACAGAAAGUUUUGUUUUGGAACAUUUUAAAUUUCACACUAGGGAUGCUUAACCUGUAAUGGUAUGCACAUACCUCUUAGGAUAGUGUGAUGAAUUGAGAAAAUACAUGUAUAGAAAGUACAUAAAGAGAAAAACAUAUAAAGCAUUUGAGCGCUGUGCAUGUCAUCAACAUUCAAAUGUUGCUAAAGUCAAAUACUAGUUAACUGUUAGCGCACUUUUGUGGGGCUUCUAUCACCAGUCAAAAUGGUAGAAUUUUAUUUCAUGUAAUGGUCUUAUAUAGACAGUAUUUUACUAGCUAUAUUAAAUUAACUCUUGGAUCUUUUACUAUGGUUUAUUUUAAAAGUUAAAAUGUAAGUAAAUAAAAAACAUAGCUAUUUGGGACUGUAAACCAUAAUAUAGGAACGUUGUAGUACUCUAAUUUACGAUUUUUGUUACCCAUACAAACUAAACUAACUACAAACUAAUCUCAUAUUAACAGAAGAACAGAGGGAGCUUAGACAGACAUAGUCCUACCUCUAAAUCUUCAUCCUCAUCAAUCUUCUGUAUAUUUUGGUAGGCAGCAGUGUAGACCUCUAAUGCUUUGCCGUGAAAUAACAUUUCGAUUGUGAUAAACUCUGAAAAUAUAGUCUUAAAAAAUUCAGAUUUAAACAAUUUUAUAAGUUGUUUUAUGAAUUCAGUAAAUUUCACUUUUAUGAAAUGCAGAAAAAUUUUUUUCUAGAAGGCAAAUAAAGCACAAAAAUUAAAAUAGUUGCAAAGACCUUUUGCAGCGAAACCUUCAAAUUAUGCAAUGUAUAUCCUAUGUCACUAUUUACUCUUAAUUCUCUACAUACCCUGUAAUUGACAUUUGUAAUAAUAAAAGAUCAAGGGUUGGUAUUAUGGCACACCAGGUUAAGCUGCUGCCUAUGACACAAGCAUCCAGUAAGAUUGCUGGUUUGAGCCCAGCUGCUCCACUUCUGAUCAAGCACCCUGUUAAUGUUCCUUGGAAAGAAGAGAAAGAUGGCCCAAGUGCUUGGGCCCCACCACCCACAGGGAAGACCAUACCACAUGGCUGUAAGUUUUAGUUUUAGAGCAGUGCAGUCCUGAAGUUGGUAGCUGAGCUACUCCAGGUAUUAAAGCAAUAGAACUUUUUUUUAGAUUGGAAUUAGGUUCCAUCAUAUUUCUGAUUAUAUGUUAUCUUUAUUCUCUAAACAAAGGAACUACUUGGUGGUAAUGAUGAUGAUACCACUGAUUAUGGCAUCUGCAUAGAGUUUUGCAGUUUGCAAAUGCAUGCUUUGCCCAGUGUUCAUCACAGCCAGAAUGUUGAGAUGUGGAUCUGAUUCUAAGGUUAUAGUUAUGGCUCUUGCUCACUAAGAGCUAUAGAUUAUAGCUCUUGCUCUUUGUACUGUGCUGUUGUUAAAGUCAUCAUUUCUUUCAGAAACUGAAGGUAACCUCUAUGAACACGAUGAAAACUUAAGGAAGAUUAUGAGCCAAAAGAUAAUGCAACAGGGUGAGAUGAUUGGUAGUCAGACAGGAUAGAAACCAGACGAGCUUUUAGUAAAUAUACUCUUAUCUUUUGAAUUAUUGCCUCUUGGAAAAUAAAAUGUCCAAGCAUUAAUAUGGAAUGAACUGGAAUGAGUAAGAACAAGGUAGAAAGUAAGUAUUGUCUUUAAAGCUACAAUGGAAAAGGUGGAUUAGGCUAGAAGGCAAUAGUCAAAUACAUGUUUCCCUUCAUCUCUGCACUCCUGAGAUAUUCAUCAAGCAAGGAGUGGUCAUGUGCUUUGGAACAUAACCAUACAGCUAUCCAUUAGUGUCCUGUGAUUCUUUUCUCCAUCUUGUUUCUUAAACAAAUAUUUGAGUCUUCUGAUUGCUGCUUGAGGGGAAAGAGAUCCAUAACUGAAAAUACCCUUUGUCACCAAGCAAAUGUCAAUCUGAUUAAGAUAUUGAGCUCUGAGAUAAGAGAUUUGUAACUGAUAGUGAGCCUUCCUGUCACUUUAUAUAAUGUCACAGAGGGCUCUGGUAUACUGGACUGGCAACUGACUGUUUACCAAGGUAACAAUUUUGGAGGUGGGCAUUUGGUGUAGUGGUCAAAGUGCUGUUUAGGAUGCAUGCAUCCCUUAACAGAGUGCCCAGGACUCUGCUUCCAGUUCCAUCUUCCUGCUAAUGCACACUGGUGAUUAUCAGCAAGUGAUAGCUCACAUAGUUGGGUUCCUGCCACCCACAUGAAUGACCUGGAUUGAGCUCCAGGCCUCAGCCUGGCCCAGCAUUGGAUGUUGCAGGUAUUGGGAGGGAACUAGUGAAUGGGAGACUUUUUCUAUGUUUGCUUUUCCAAAAGAAAAAAUAUAUAUAAACAGAAAAAGAGGGAUACAAUUUUGGAAAUAUAUUAGAGCUAGAACAGUUUCUGGCCCAGACUAUGACUACUUUCCUUAGUUGUCAGCCUAAGAUAGUUGCUAACCAAAAAGAUGUCAGGAGCUCUCUAGGAGUGUGGAAACUCCAUGGAAAAGAGCAGCAGGAGGCAUCAAUUACAAACCAAAACAUCUAUUUUUUAAUACUCAAGAAAUAAAACAGCUAAAUGAGAAAAUGUCCUUUUAGUUUAAAUGUCCAUUUAAACUUUGAUUAACAAGCAAGAUAUUUAAUAAAAGAACUGUAAAAUGUCAAUAUUUUGGUAAAUAGGGGGAAAUGACAGCUUUUUAGAGUAGAGGCUAUUCAGUAAAGGAUUUCAUAACUUUAUCCAUUUGGAAAUAAUAUGGUUACAUAUUUACUUCAUGCCAAAUGAAAAAUAAUUGCUAGAAAAAAAAAACAUUUAAAUGUUUGAGAUAAUUCAAAAAUACUAGAAGAAAUGUUUUAGGCCGGCGCCGCGGCUCACUAGGCUAAUCCUCCGCCUUGCGGCGCUGGCACACCGGGUUCUAGUCCCAGUCGGGGCGCCGGAUUCUGUCCCGGUUGCCCCUCUUCCAGGCCAGCCCUCUGCUGUGGCCAGGGAGUGCAGUGGAGGAUGGCCCAGGUGCUUGGGCCCUGCACCCCAUGGGAGACCAGGAUAAGUACCUGGCUCCUGCCAUCGGAUCAGCGUGGUGCGCCGGCUGCAGCGCGCCGGCCGCGGCGGCCAUUGGAGGGUGAACCAACGGCAAAGGAAGACCUUUCUCUCUGUCUCUCUCUCUCACUGUCCACUCUGCCUGUCAAAAAAAAAAAAAGUUUAAAAA